GUAGGUGGCAAGCGUUGUCCGGAAUUAUUGGGCGUAAAGCGCGCGCAGGCGGGUCCUUUAAGUCUGAUGUGAAAGCCCACGGGCUCAACCGUGGAGGGUCAUUGGAAACUGGGGGACUUGAGUACAGAAGAGGAAAGCGGAAUUCCAAGUGUAGCGGUGAAAUGCGUAGAGAUUUGGAGGAACACCAGUGGCGAAGGCGGCUUUCUGGUCUGUAACUGACGCUGAGGCGCGAAAGCGUGGGGAGCAAACAGGAUUAGAUACCCUGGUAGUCCACGCCGUAAACGAUGAGUGCUAAGUGUUAGGGGGUUUCCGCCCCUUAGUGCUGCAGCUAACGCAUUAAGCACUCCGCCUGGGAAGUACGGCCGCAAAGGCUG
rnacentral:rRNA from 1 species